rnacentral:rRNA from 1 species
AUCCAGACUCCUACGGGAGGCAGCAGUGGGGAAUAUUGCACAAUGGGGGAAACCCUGAUGCAGCGACGCCGCGUGAGUGAAGAAGUAUUUCGGUACGUAAAGCUCUAUCAGCAGGGAAGAAAAUGACGGUACCUGACUAAGAAGCCCCGGCUAACUACGUGCCAGCAGCCGCGGUAAUACGUAGGGGGCAAGCGUUAUCCGGAUUUACUGGGUGUAAAGGGAGCGUAGACGGCAGCGCAAGUCUGGAGUGAAAUCCCCUGGCUUAACCAUGGAACUGCUUUGGAAACUGUGCAGCUGGAGUGCAGGUGAGGUAAGCGGAAUUCCUAGUGUAGCGGUGAAAUGCGUAGAUAUUAGGAGGAACACCAGUGGCGAAGGCGGCUUACUGGACUGUAACUGACGUUGAGGCUCGAAAGCGUGGGGAGCAAACAGGAUUAGAUACCCCAGUCUAA